CACGUACUGUGCGAACGUUAUUCGGAAUCACUGGGCUUAAAAGGGGUACGUAGGCGGUUAAUCAAGUCAGGUGUGAAAAUGCCUGAGCUCAACUGAGGCACUGCGCUUGAAAACUGAUUAGCUAGAGUAUUCCAGGGGGUGUGCGGAACUUAUGGUGGAGCGGUGAAAAUGCGUUGAUAUCAUGAGGAACACCGGAGGCGAAGGCGGCACACUGGGGGAAUUACUGACGCUGAGGUACGAAAAGCUAGGGGUAGCGAACGGGGAUUAGAUACCCCCGUAGUCC
rnacentral:rRNA from 1 species